GGGCUCAAGGUGACACGAUGUGAGACCUUGGGCUACAACUCAGGACCCGGGCGCUGCUCCGACCCCUCGUGUCUUGUGUUGCAGCUGGAGGUACACAGAUCUGCAGCAGAGCCCGUGU
rnacentral:pre_miRNA from 15 species